AUACGUAGGGAGCGAGCGUUGUCCGGAAUUACUGGGUGUAAAGGGAGCGUAGGCGGGAGUGCAAGUCAGAUGUGAAAUACAUGGGCUCAACCCAUGGGCUGCAUUUGAAACUGCAUUUCUUGAGUGAAGAAGAGGUAAGCGGAAUUCCUGGUGCACCGGUGAAAUGCGUGGAUAUCAGGAGGAACACCGGUGGCGAAGGCGGCUUACUGGGCUUUUACUGACGCUGAGGCUCGAAAGCGUGGGGAGCAAACAGGAUUAGAUACCCUGGUAGUCCACGCUGUAAACGAUGAUUACUAGGUGUGGGGGGACUGACCCCUUCCGUGCCGCAGUUAACACAAUAAGUAAUCCACCUGGGGAGUACGGUCGCAAGGUUUAAUCUCAAAUGAAUUGACGGGG
rnacentral:rRNA from 1 species